rnacentral:rRNA from 1 species
UACGAAGGGUGCAAACGUUGCUCGGAAUUAUUGGGCGUAAAGCGCACGUAGGCGGCUUUGCAAGUCCCAUGUGAAAUCCCACGGCUUAACCGUGGAAGUGCAUGGGAAACUGCAGAGCUUGAGUACUUAAGAGGAUCGCGGAAUUCCCGGUGUAGAGGUGAAAUUCGUAGAUAUCAGGAGGAACACCGAUGGCGAAGGCAGGUCUCUGGGCCACUACUGACGCUGAGAAGCGAAAGCAUGGGGAGCGAACAGG